UACGUAGGGUGCGAGCGUUGUCCGGAAUUAUUGGGCGUAAAGAGCUCGUAGGCGGUCUGUCACGUCGGAUGUGAAAGCCCGGGGCUUAACCCCGGGUCUGCAUUCGAUACGGGCAGACUAGAGUGUGGUAGGGGGAGAUCGGAAUUCCUGGUGUAGCGGUGAAAUGCGCAGAUAUCAGGAGGAACACCGAUGGCGAAGGCAGGUCUCUGGGCAUUAACUGACGCUGAGGAGCGAAAGCAUGGGGAGCGAACAGG
rnacentral:rRNA from 1 species